UUAUAACUUACACAUGUGUAAGCACCACCACCAUCAUGUCCGACCACAACUAUGAUUUUCUAGCGACGGCGGCCACCGCCAUCACGACUUACACAUGUGUAUGGAAGACUGGGCCAUCAGAGCAGCCAUAGCCAAAAAUUUAAGGCGAUGGCUGCCAACAACAGAAAAAAGUAGAAUAAGUUAUGAGAAAGGGUAGACCCAAGUUAGUAUUUUUUCCCCUCCAAACUCCCUUUAAUUUAUUGUAUAGUACAUUAGUACUAGUAUUACUUGGAAAAAGUAAUAUAUUGGUUUAUUUUAUAUAUUGUAUAGUAUUAUACUUGGAAAGAUCUGGGAAAUUGAGUAAUAUAUAUUGAUUUACUUUUAAUUA